UGGGGAAUCUUGCACAAUGGGGGAAACCCUGAUGCAGAGACGCCGCGUGAACGAUGAAGCCCUUCGGGGUGUAAAGUUCUUUCGACAGGAACGAUAAUGACGGUACCUGGAGAAGAAGCUGCGGCUAACUACGUGCCAGCAGCCGCGGUAAUACGUAGGCAGCGAGCGUUGUUCGGAGUUACUGGGCGUAAAGAGUGCGUAGGCGGCGAGCCAAGUUUGGUGUGAAAUCUCCCGGCUUAACCGGGAGGGUGCGCCGAAAACUGGUUGGCUGGAGUAUGGGAGAGGACAGCGGAAUUCCUGGUGUAGCGGUGAAAUGCGUAGAUAUCAGGAGGAACACCUGCGGUGUAGACAGCUUUCUGGACCAAAACUGACGCUGAGGCACGAAAGCGUGGGUAGCAAACA
rnacentral:rRNA from 1 species